AGCGAACGCUGGCGGCAGGCCUAACACAUGCAAGUCGAACGAAGUCUUCGGACUUAGUGGCGGACGGGUGAGUAACACGUGGGAACGUACCUUUUGGUUCGGAACAACUCAGGGAAACUUGAGCUAAUACCGGAUGAGCCCUUAGGGGGAAAGAUUUAUCGCCGAAAGAGCGGCCCGCGUUAGAUUAGCUAGUUGGGGAGGUAAAGGCUCACCAAGGCUACGAUCUAUAGCUGGUCUGAGAGGAUGCUCAGCCACACUGGGACUGAGACACGGCCCAGACUCCUACGGGAGGCAGCAGUGGGGAAUCUUGCGCAAUGGGCGAAAGCCUGACGCAGCCAUGCCGCGUGAAUGAUGAAGGUCUUAGGAUUAUAAAAUUCUUUUACCAGGGACGAUAAUGACGGUACCUGGAGAAAAAGCCCCGGCUAACUUCGUGCCAGCCGCCGCAGUAAAAC
rnacentral:rRNA from 1 species